UACGUAGGGGGCGAGCGUUGUCCGGAUUUAUUGGGCGUAAAGAGCGUGUAGGCGGCCAGGUAGGUCUGCUGUGAAAACUCGAGGCUCAACCUCCAGACGUCGACGGAAACCGUGUGGCUAGAGUCCGGAAGAGGCGAGUGGAAUUCCUGGUGUAGCGGUGGAAUGCGCAGAUAUCAGGAGGAACACCAAUAGCGAAGGCAGCUCGCUGGGACGUUACUGACACUGAGGCGCGAAAGCGUGGGGAGCGAACAGG
rnacentral:rRNA from 1 species